rnacentral:rRNA from 1 species
CCUACGGGAGGCAGCAGUGGGGAAUAUUGCGCAAUGGGCGAAAGCCUGACGCAGCGACGCCGCGUGAGGGAAGAAGGCUCUCGGGUCGUAAACCUCUGUCAGGAGGGAAGAAAUGCCAUGCGGUUAAUAUCCGUAUGGCUUGACGGUACCUCCGGAGGAAGCAUCGGCUAACUACGUGCCAGCAGCCGCGGUAAUACGGAGGGUGCAAGCGUUGUCCGGAAUCACUGGGUGUAAAGGGUGUGUAGGCGGACAGGUAAGUGUCUUGUGAAAUCCCACGGCUCAACCGUGGAAUUGCUCGGCAGACUGCCUGUCUUGAGCUCGGCAGGGGCCGUCGGAACUCUAGGUGGAGCGGUGAAAUGCGUAGAUAUCUAGAGGAACGCCAAAGGUGAAGACAGACGGCUGGGCCGACGCUGACGCUCAGGCACGAAAGCGUGGGUAGCGAACGGGAUUAGAUACCCCGGUAGUCCACGCCCUAAACGAUGUGCACUAGGUCGGGGAGGUUUUGACGCCAUCUCGGCCGCAGUUAAAACAUUAAGUGCACCGCCUGGGGAGUACGGUCGCAAGGCUAAAACUCAAAGGAAUUGACGG